GACGAACGCUGGCGGCGUGCUUAACACAUGCAAGUCGAACGGAAAGGCCCUGCUUGUGUGGGGUGCUCGAGUGGCGAACGGGUGAGUAACACGUGAGUAACCUGCCCUUGACGGGGGGAUAACUGCAGGAAACUGGGGCUAAUACCGGAGAGGAGCGCCUGCUGCAGGGGGGGGGUUGGAAAGUUUCGGCGGUGGGGGAUGGACUCUCGGCUUAUCAGCUGGUGGGGGGGGUAGUGGCUUACCAAGGCUUUGACGGGUAGCCGGCCUGAGAGGGUGACCGGCCACAUUGGGACUGAGAUACGGCCCAGACUCCUACGGGAGGCAGCAGUGGGGAAUAUUGCACAAUGGGCGGAAGCCUGAUGCAGCAACGCCGCGUGCGGGAUGACCGCCUUCGGGUUGUAAACCGCUUUCGCCUGUGACGAAGCGUGAGUGACGGUACUGGGUAAAGAAGCACCGGCUAACUACGUG
rnacentral:rRNA from 1 species